UACGAAGGGGGCUAGCGUUGUUCGGAAUUACUGGGCGUAAAGGGCGCGUAGGCGGCCUGCUAAGUCGAACGUGAAAUCCCUGGGCUCAACCCAGGAACUGCGUCCGAUACUGGUUGGCUUGAAUCCGGGAGAGGGAUGUGGAAUUCCAGGUGUAGCGGUGAAAUGCGUAGAUAUCUGGAGGAACACCGGUGGCGAAGGCGACAUCCUGGACCGGCAUUGACGCUGAGGCGCGAAAGCCAGGGGAGCAAACGGG
rnacentral:rRNA from 1 species